rnacentral:rRNA from 1 species
CAGUAGCCGCGGUAAUACGAAGGGUGCAAGCGUUAAUCGGAAUUACUGGGCGUAAAGGGCGUGUAGGCGGCCUGGGGCGUCCCAUGUGAAAGGCCGCGGCUCAACCGUGGAGGAGCGUGGGAUACGCUCAGGCUAGAGGGUGGGAGAGGGUGGUGGAAUUCCCGGAGUAGCGGUGAAAUGCGCAGAUACCGGGAGGAACGCCGAUGGCGAAGGCAGCCACCUGGUCCACUUCUGACGCUGAGGCGCGAAAGCGUGGGAGCAAACCGGAUUAGAUACCCCCGUAGUCCCUGUCUCUUAUACA